UGAUGGAACAUUAUCCAACGACAAUAAAAAGAUUUGGAAUGCGCAAGUUUUGCAGUGCUGCUUUUUACCUGAUGGUGAAACUUAGUUCCGGCCAUAAAUCCGAGGGAGACACAAGAACGGUCAAGAGGUCAGGUUCUGGCGGGGAACAAGCAUGACAUAAAGCCUGUGCUUGAUGCCGUCAUCAUUUCUGCCUGCAAAGGUUAUGUCUGGAUGUGGUGCAAAGACCACAGCAAAACAGUGCCAGAUGACACCUCCUUCAACAAGGCAGUGACACUCCAAAUAGACUACUCCAGGAAAUAAAUGAAAUCAUCUUGUUUAAAUUGAGACUAAAAAUAGGGGG